UACGUAGGGGGCUAGCGUUGUCCGGAAUCGAUUGGGCGGUAAAGAGCGUGUAGGCGGCCCGGUAAGUCCGCUGUAAAAGUCAAAGGGCUCAACCCUUUGAAUGUCAGUGGAUACUGCCGGGCUAGAGUCCGGAAGAGGCGAGUGGAACUCCGUGGAUGUAGCGGUGGAAUGCGCAGAUAUCAGGAGGAACACCGGUGGCGAAGGCGGGUCUCUGGGCCGAUAUUGACGCUGGAGGAGCGAAAGCGUGGGGAGCGAACAGG
rnacentral:rRNA from 1 species